UCCAGAUUUCACAUUUUGGAUAGUUUUGGCGAGUUUGACAAGUUUAACGUAAGGUUCGGAAGACGAAGAGACGAGCAGGAUAAAGGGUAACUCCCAAAAGGUACAGAUACAGAUUUUGGGAGUCCGUCAGCUUAG